AUUGAACGCUGGCGGCAGGCCUAACACAUGCAAGUCGAAUGGUAACAGGAAACAGCUUGCUGUUUCGCUGACGAGUGGCGGACGGGUGAGUAAUGUCUGGGAAACUGCCUGAUGGAGGGGGAUAACUACUGGAAACGGUAGCUAAUACCGCAUAACGUCGCAAGACCAAAGAGGGGGACCUUCGGGCCUCUUUCCAUCAGUUGUGCCCAGAUGGGAUUAGCUGGUAGGUGGGGUAACGGCUCACCUAGGCGACGAUCCCUAUCUGGUCUGAGAGGAUGACACGCCACACUGGCACUAGGCCACGGUCCUGACUCCUACGGGAGGCAGCAGUGGGGAAUAUUGCACAAUGGGCGCAAGCCUGAUGCAGCCAUGCCGCGUGUAUGAAGAAGGCCUUCGGGUUGUAAAGUACUUUCAGCGGGGAGGAAGGGAGUAGAGUUAAUACCUUCGCUCAUUGACGUUACCCGCAGAAGAAGCACCGGCUAACUCCGUG
rnacentral:rRNA from 1 species